CUGCUUAGGCAGCACAUAUACUAAAAUUGGACCUAUACAAAGAAGACUGGCCCUUGCAUAAGGAUGACAUGCAAAUUUGUGAAGCAUUCCAUAUUUCA
rnacentral:snRNA from 1 species